UACGGGGGGGGCAAGCGUUGUUCGGAAUUACUGGGCGUAAAGGGCUCGUAGGUGGCCAACUAAGUCAGACGUGAAAUCCCUCGGCUUAACCGGGGAACUGCGUCUGAUACUGGAUGGCUUGAGUUUGGGAGAGGGACGCGGAAUUCCAGGUGUAGCGGUGAAAUGCGUAGAUAUCUGGAGGAACACCGGUGGCGAAGGCGGCGUCCUGGACCAACACUGACACUGAUGAGCAGAAGCCAGGGGAGCAAACGGG
rnacentral:rRNA from 1 species